ensembl:lncRNA
AGUUAACAUUUAUUUAUCCUGUUUGCUUGCAGCAGGAGGUUCAACACACCAGCACGUAUCUCAGCGCUCGGCGUAAUGACGUCUCCGAGCAGUGAAAACGCUGAGUUUUUAUACACAUGUGAAGAACAUUCUCCGUGCCAGUUACGAGAAGCUACAAAGCAGGUUGAGAUAAGAACCCAGGUGAAGCUGAGGGCAGCAUUACAUUACAUUACAUGUCAUUUAGCGGAUGCUUUUAUCCAAAGCGACGUACAAUAAGUGCAUAGUUGGCCGGUGCAAAUCAUAAUUAAUUGACAUAAAGUAAAAACGUGGAUCCGGAACUUUCGUACCAAAUAAGAUAUGAACUAAGGCCAUGAACAGAAGUCCUUUGUUUUGAAGCUUCUAUGAGAUCGAGUUGACCGUCCUCCCUUCUCAGGACACAGCUGCAAACUAACAUUUUGUAUCAUGCUGCUCUUUGCACAUCAGGGUCAAAUACGGGACACUUGAGACACGGCUUUAACGCAAAACAUUGUUAUAAUAUAUUUUAUCAGUACAUGCAUCUCACAAUUCCCCCUUUUGAUCUCUUCAGAGAUCACCCCAGCUGUUGGAGAACGUCUGCUGGAUCAGCCUCCUCAUCUUGCCUCCUUUCCAGGCCAAUAAUGGGAUCGUGUCUUGUUCUUGGGGUUUUUUUUUUGCUAAACUAAAGCGGAGAAUUGAGAAAGAUAGAACAGUUACCUCCAUAGCCUCCCCUGUAACCACCCCCUUGGGCUGUCCCAUACGACGUCUCCUCCCAUGGUGGGAGUGGAUACAAAUCAGGGGCGUUACCUCCAGCUGGGGCAGCCUGUGCAACCAUCUAUCGCUCGUCUUUCCCUUUCUGCUCCUUGUCGCUCACUUCCUGUCUUACUUUGGCGAGCUGGAGCUUCAGCAGUCGAGCCUGCAGCUCCUUUAACUGUUUAUCUUCUCCUUUCGCUUCUUCUGUCGCGUCUUGUAAAUGGUGUAACAAAUGUCUCUCCCACACAGCAGAGUCACUACCUGGCAGGUCUGUGUUAGUCAUCAUUUUAGCUUUCACACUCUCUGGUACGCCCUCCAGUACCGCCUGUCUAAACCCUUCCCUGUGCACUCCCGCAGUGCCUGGGUGAUGACCUGUGUGUUUCACCCAUGUUUCCUUACAUUCGUCCAAACAAGCGCGCUGUGUUUUUCCCCAAAACAAAUUUCUUUCCUGCUGCGCUGAAUUUGUUUUCAUGUUUAUUUCUAUUUGUUCUAAUAAUUUUUCAUCAUAUUUUAAAUCCUUGAUUGAAGUGUUACACUUAAAAAGAAAGUAGUUCAGCGAAACUAAAAGUUGCAAUGUCUCAUCAACCUGUUAGUUGAUUUCAUAAAAUCCCCCCUACAACCCGCUUGUUCAUGUAAAGGUUUUUGGCCGACCUUUGACAGCCCAGUAAUGAUGAGUUUAUUCUUCUGAACUGAAAAGCAAACGGACCAUUUAUCCUCUUUAUUCUUUAUAUAUCAUGGUAUUCAAGAAAGAUGCAUAAACCUAAUUAUAUCACUAAAUGAUGGCACUCAGGAUUAACUUUAUUCAACAGUAUGCGUGUGAGGAGGUAUAAAACCUUAUUGGCCUCCACCGUUGCUCCCACACAUCUUCUCACUGCUGUGACCUUUUUACUCCCAUAAAACCCCCGCUGCUUCAACAGAGAUUUAUUACGCUUAUUCUAGCCGUUGUUGCUUUAAAGACUUUAAAUCUUCUUUUUCUUUCUUCAGUGCAUGUCUACAAUUCUACUAUUUUUAAAUCAAAAGUGUAGUAAUAGCUUGGAGAGCUUAAAAAAAAGGCUCUGCAGCAGCAGACUUGUUGUUUGAGAAUCAGUCUCUCCUUUUUUUUUUUUUCUACCCUCGUAUGGAGGCGGUUUUUCCAAAUCACACCGUACUUGGUCUUGUGAGGUCACGAGAGGCGCCGCCGCUCUCUCCAGGGUAGUUCAAAUAGUGCGACGACACCGGGUUCAAAAUGUAAACAAAGGUUUUAAUUUACGUCCUUCAGAUUGAACAGAAAACAGUCAAAACAGGGAGUAACUCAGGCUUCGGUCGAUCUUCGCCGGUAAAACUUAACUAAUGUCUUGUCUUUGGAGGGGAAACGGAAAACCUCUCGGUCUCUCCUGCAUUCGGGAAUCCUUCUGUCUUGGUCUGCUCUUCUGCAGCUCGUCUCUCCUCCCUCAGCGGUGUGUCUUCCGCCCUCAUGGAGGCCUCCAGGUCGUCACACCCUGGUGGGUUUCAGGCAUGAGGGGAAUGCUCUUUCGGGGUUUCGGGGUGGAGUUCCUACCUCCACCAGCAGAUGGAGCCAUAGUGGUUACAGCCAUCGCCGGUGAACGCAUCUCCCUUCCAAGACCGAGCCUCUCGUGACAUCACAGUUGUUUUUGUCUACGCUUUACUUUUUAUCCAACACGAAAACCAUACGGACCUGAAGUCCUCUAUUUUGUCAAUUUCUUUGUGAAGUUUCCUUUUUCCCCAAACAUUCACCUUCUCACAUUUUGCUAUCAAUGUUCCUUUGAUCAGACGUU